GAGAUGCUCUCUUCAGUCCGGGGCUUGGUUGAACGGACUCACCAGGAAACGUGACUUUCGUGUCCGACCUCUGCUGUAUCAGGAUUCGAUUCUUGGUGUUAAACAAGACAACGCUGAAGGCUCGGUGCAGCAGCCCUGCAAAGGUCUAUGAAGUCUGCAUCUCUUCCUCUGGAAAGUAACGUAAGGGCUGUGAAGAACAUUGUCCAUAAUGAAACUGAGAAGGGCUGUUCUCCCUGGGAACAGAAAGGUCACUGUCUUUGCUCAACAAACAGCCUAAAGCCAGGAACGCAGGCCUCCCCAGGCCUCUUGGCCGCCUCUCAAGCUUCCUCAAUAAAAAAUUCACAUGGAAGACA
rnacentral:lncRNA from 1 species